UGCCCAUCUUCCCCAGCCAUGUAAGGCCCGGAGUUACUGCGGAAGGAGCUGUGGGUUCCCUGUGUGGAUAGCUCUGCUCCUGCCAGGACCGAAUUCCUCCCUGUCCCUGCCCAGGGGGGUCGCCCCCGAGCUGGGCCAGGGCCCGAGGCCAUUGCUCAGGAUUAGUAGUGCAUUAAGAAAUUUCUGUCGGACAUACCAACCUCCUGACCUGCUGGUGAAACAUCCUCUGCUAUCAAGAAGCCUGGGAUGUGAUGAUAUAUCCUGCUGUAGACCUCAAAGCCGAGCUGCUUUCCAGCCAGGAUCACUCCUGGCUGCUGAUGCAGCCGCUUUGGGAGCAGCUACCUGGGACCUCCGCAGAGAGCAGCGAUGACACGGCUGGGCCUGCAGCAACCAAGGAGGCUGGCACUGUGGACUGCAGCAUUACUGAAUUGAAAAGCGUGAAUGCUACAGAAAUUUCUGCUGCAUGGAAAAAUGUUAUUU